rnacentral:rRNA from 1 species
CGAACGGGUGAGUAACGCGUGAGGAACCUGCCUCAAAGAGGGGGACAACAGUUGGAAACGACUGCUAAUACCGCAUAAGCCCACGGUGCCGCAUGGUACAGAGGGAAAAGGAGCAAUCCGCUUUGAGAUGGCCUCGCGUCCGAUUAGCUAGUUGGUGAGGUAACGGCCCACCAAGGCGACGAUCGGUAGCCGGACUGAGAGGUUGAACGGCCACAUUGGGACUGAGACACGGCCCAG